GAUGAAGAACGUAGUGAAAUGCGAUAAUUAAUGUGAAUUACAGAAUUCAGUGAAUCAUCGAGUCUUUGAACGCACAUUGCGCCCCCUGGUAUUCCGGGGGGCAUGCCUGUCCGAGCGUCAUUGCUGCCCUCAAGCACGGCUUGUGUGUUGGGCUUCCGUCCCUGGCAACGGGGACGGGCCCAAAAGGCAGUGGCGGCACCAUGUCUGGUCCUCGAGCGUAUGGGGCUUUGUCACCCGCUCCCGUAGGUCCAGCUGGCAGCUAGCCUCGCAACCAAUCUUUUUAACCAGGUUGACCUCGGAUCAGGUAGGGAUACCCGCUGAACUUAAGCAUAUCAAUAAGCGGAGGA
rnacentral:misc_RNA from 1 species